rnacentral:rRNA from 1 species
GACGAACGCUAGCGGCGUGCUUAACACAUGCAAGUCGAACGAUGAACCCGGAGCUUGCUCCGGCGGAUUAGUGGCGAACGGGUGAGUAACACGUGAGUAACCUGCCCUUGACUCUGGGAUAACUGCUAGAAAUGGUAGCUAAUACCGGAUACGACCCGCGGUGGCCUCACCAGGGGGUGGAAAGAAUUUCGGCCAAGGAUGGACACGCGGCAAAUCAGCUAGGUGGUGAGGUAAGGGCUCACCAAGGCGACGACGGGUAGGCGGCCUGAGAGGGUGACCGGCCACACUGGGACUGAGACACGGCCCAGACUCCUACGGGAGGCAGCAGUGGGGAAUAUUGCACAAUGGGCGCAAGCCUGAUGCAGCAACGCCGCGUGAGGGAUGACGGCCUUCGGGUUGUAAACCUCUUUUAGUAGGGAAGAAGCGAAAGUGACGGUACCUGCAGAAAAAGUACCGGCUAACUACGUGCCAGCCGCCGCCGUAA